AAUAAAUAAUGUUUGUAAUUAUAUCAAUGGACGAAAGCUGAAUAUAAAUGUGAUGAACAUUUUACUGUUUGUUAUAAAAAAGCGAAAUUUUGAUUAUUUUGGUGAAAUACGGUAAUUUUGUCUGGCGCGAGUUGCUUCCCUCUAAUCUGGCGCCAUAAUCGGACAACAGAAAUUUCAGGGUCGCCAUUGCUGAGCAGCAUACUGCAUUGAUAAAUACGACCAUGUGCAUGAAUAACAGACAUAGCGGCGAAUAGACAACGAUGAAGGCUUCAAGUACAUGUAAGAGGAAGGAGUGAUUUGUUGUGAAAGAUCCUGGAAUGUUCAACUUUACUUGUAAACUAUUGGCAAAGAACUGACAGAAUUUACACGAGAAGCCAGUAUCAUCUUGUCUUGCAAUUGGGAACUAUAUGUAAAGUGCAGAAACUUAAGAACAACAUUAGAAGCCAAGAUCAACAAUACUUGGAACUACAUGUAUAAUCAAAGUACUGUCAGAAUCCAUAUGAGAGAACCCAAGAUCAUCUACACUUGGUGUCUAUAUGCAAAGUGUUGUCAGAAUCCACUUAAGAAACCAAGAUCAACUAUAAUUUGGAACUAUAUGCUUUAGUGCUGUCAAAAUCCAUAAAAAAAAAUCCAAGAUCAAAAGGACCUACUUUACCUACUUGUCCCAAUGAUGAAUACAGAUUAUUGAGUCUAAUAAAAAACACUGAUGAAGAAUAUUGAUAUAAAAAUAAUGAAAAUAUAGAGCUGAUCAGCUAAUGAUUGUACAUGUACAUGAUGUAUACAUGUCAACAAUUACUGGUAUAUUGAAAUUUACAAUGCUAAUAAAUGUUUUAUAAAUUUGA